GGUUUCUAAAAAACUCAAAACAGAGCCAGAUUAUUCUCUCUCAGCUAGAAAACUGCACAUGAAGGAGUGGAAGGAGAAACCAGCCACUGGCUGGAGCACCUUCCUUACUUCUCUGGAAACAUGAGAAACAAGGAAGUAAGCAUGCCUCGAGCAGUGUCUUGGUGCUGCCUUCCUAAGCGGAGCUCCUGCUCACAGGCUGUGGCUAACACUUCCAGAGCAGAGAAGAUGUUAUUGUUCUCUGUGGAAGUGAAUUGAUGCCCCUCUGCAAGUCUGGA